UAGCAGAGCGUGGUUUUGAUCCACGGACCUCUGAGUUAUGAUCCCAGCACGCUCCCACUGUGCCUUUUUAAU
rnacentral:tRNA from 11 species